CAGGACCAUCCCAUGCCACCAUCAGAGGCCCAGAGCAAUGUUCUAUGCCAGUGCUCAUUGCCACCAGCCAUCCUCGCAGUGCAGGAUGCCUAGGUGGGACACAGGCUUCUUCAGAAAUACAGCAGGAGUCCAGGGAGCCAGCUACACCAUCCACCCUGAGUUUGUGUCCAAGGAUCCGUACAUUCCUGCCUACUGAAGAGCAAAGAUGAGCUUUCAUUAAAACUGGCUUGAACAGCA